rnacentral:rRNA from 1 species
UACAGAGGUCCCAAGCGUUGUUCGGAUUCACUGGGCGUAAAGGGUGCGUAGGUGGUCAGGUAAGUCGGAUGUGAAAUCUCCGAGCUCAACUCGGAAACUGCAUUGGAAACUACCUGGCUCGAGGGUUGGAGGGGGGACUGGAAUGCUUGGUGUAGCAGUGAAAUGCGUAGAUAUCAAGCGGAACACCAGAGGCGAAGGCGGCUACCUGGACAAUUGCUGACGCUCAGGCACGAAAGCGUGGGGAGCAAAAGGG